AGCAGCCGCGGUAAUACGAAGGGACCUAGCGUAGUUCGGAAUUACUGGGCUUAAAGAGUUCGUAGGUGGUUGAAAAAGUUGGUGGUGAAAUCCCAGAGCUUAACUCUGGAACUGCCAUCAAAACUUUUCAGCUAGAGUAUGAUAGAGGAAAGCAGAAUUUCUAGUGUAGAGGUGAAAUUCGUAGAUAUUAGAAAGAAUACCAAUUGCGAAGGCAGCUUUCUGGAUCAUUACUGACACUGAGGAACGAAAGCAUGGGUAGCGAAGAGGAUUAGAUACCCUCGUAGUCCAUGCCGUAAACGAUGUGUGUUAGACGUUGGAAAUUUAUUUUCAGUGUCGCAGCGAAAGCGAUAAACACACCGCCUGGGGAGUACGACCGCAAGGUUAAAACUCAAAUGAAUUGACGGGGACCCGCACAAGUAGUGGAGCAUGUGGUUUAAUUCGAAGAUACGCGCAGAACCUUACCAACACUUGACAUGUUCGUCGCGACUUUAAGAGAUUAAAGUUUUCGGUUCGGCCGGACGAAACACAGGUGCUGCAUGGCUGUCGUCAGCUCGUGUCGUGAGAUGUUGGGUUAAGUCCCGCAACGAGCGCAACCCUCACUUUUAGUUGCCAUCAUUAAGUUGGGCACUCUGAAAGAACUGCCAGUGAUAAGCUGGAGGAAGGUGGGGAUGACGUCAAGUCCUCAUGGCCCUUACGUGUUGGGCUACACACGUGCUACAAUGGUAUCUACAACAGGAAGCAAAACUGCGAAGUUAAGCAAAUCCUUAAAAGAUACCUCAGUUCGGAUUGCACUCUGCAACUCGAGUGCAUGAAGCUGGAAUUACUAGUAAUCGUGGAUCAGCGUGCCACGGUGAAUGCGUUCCCGGGUCUUGUACACACCGCCCGUCACACCAUGGGAGUUGGUUCUACCUUAAGGCAAGGUUUCAAACCCUUGACCACGGUAUAGUCAGCGACUGGGGUGAAGUCGUAACAAGGUAGCCG
rnacentral:rRNA from 1 species